CAGCCUGCUGCUCCACGCCAGUCCGUAAUCGUCCUUCAGCGAUCACUGCUCGGCGUGUUUUGAGUCACCAGCCUGUCCACCUGCCUGUCCAGAAUUUGGAUCACGAUCAACCCCAGCCGCCUCGCCCUUUCUGGAGCUUCUCCCCACGGACCCUCACCCCUCCCUCCGGUUCCCUUGGCCCCGCUAUCAUCCCUCCCACGGUCCCGCUCUCGGCGUUUCCUGCGCGAUUCUUCUCCCGGUCCCUCGGUUUCUCUGGUUCCGUGCGUUUUCUCCCUUCUACUCUCCCGGGACACUCUCAGUUAUAAU